ensembl:snRNA U6 U6 spliceosomal RNA
GUGCUCGCUUUGGCAGCACAGAUACUAAAAUUGGAACGAUACAGAGAAAAUUAGCACAGCCCCUGCUCAAGGAUGGCACGCAAAUUCGUGAAGCAUUCCAUAUUUUU